AGCAAGUGUAAGUUAGUGUUGCUAGUGAUAUAUUUCCAGUUCAUUUAUACAGAAACAAAAAAAAGUUUGAAAACAAUAAAGCUUACAAUAUGCAUUGAGCUGUAAAGUGUAUGUUGCAAUUUAACGAGCAAUAAACUUUUGUGGUUCACAGCAUCUGCUACCUGUGGGUUGCCGCAUACCUCUCGAGUUACAAAAGUACUUCGAACAAUUUUAAAUUACGCGCCAAUAAAAUGAAAGCGAAACGAAAAGUAAGUACUUGCAGUUGGUAAAUAAAACUGAAGGCUGAAGAGGAAUCCUGAUAUUUAUAUUUGAUGCAAUAAUCAUGAGGUGAAAAAACGAGAGCACUCCCGUUAAUGCUGCACGAAGUUCGAGGGCUCAUUAACGAACAAUCAUUUAGCAGUUUCAUUGUCAGUAUCAGCAAUGCUGUUUUCGUUUGCAUAAUUUCAUUUCUGGUAGCAACGAAAACUAAAUGAGAUGGACACAUGCAAAUUGAAGGCGCGCGUUUGAAUUUCUGCAAGUGCAUUAUGCAUCAGGAACGGGAUUUUUACAAGAAGGAAUGCUACAACUUCCUUUGCUCGCGUCAUCAGCCUAUAAGGAGAAGAAUGAGAAUGCCGAGCCUAAGAUGUGCUGCUUCUGCAUGGCAAGCAGAUGCAUUCACAGAAAUCUUCACUUCCUUUGCGACACUGAUAUACAGGGUGAUCCUCUAACUAAUUGUUUACCAAUAUUUUACAAAAUCGAUCGAAAAUACCGAGUCACUCGUUACUCAAAAAUACUUCCGUUUCUGGCAGAAUAUAUUUUUGGCAUUAUUCAAAAUUUAACAUUAACACUGGAUUCGACAUUUACUUAUGUUUACAUUGAAGUAGAAAAAUAAAUAAUGGAUGAUACACUAACUAUAAUACCAUGAUCCUUAAUCUCCGCAAAAGUCAAAACACAUUUGUACAGAAGUGUCUUCAUAAUUUUAUAAGAGCAUCUCACAAAAAUUUGUUUUGCACAAAAAUUCCUGAAGGUGCGGAAGAAAAUUUAUCUUACAAAAUGUUAAUACAUAAAAAUUCUCAAAGAUGAAGAAGAAAGUUUACUCUAUAAAACUUCAUUUUAAAGAAAAAUUCCUGAAGACGAUAAAGAAAAUUUG